rnacentral:rRNA from 1 species
AAUCAAGAUGCUACAACCCGACUGGGGGAUGGCUCGGCUCGAGAGCCGAAGAAGGUCGUGACAAGCUGCGAUAAGUUGCGGGGAGAGGCAUGAAUCUCUUGGAUCCGCAAAUUGCUGAAUUGGACCUCCUGGCACUCUGUGCCAUUCCUCAUUGAGGAAAGGGAACCUCCUGAACUGAAGCAUCUCAGUAGGGAGAGGAAAAGAAAUCAAACGAGAUUCCGUUAGUAGUGGCGAAUGAAAGCGGAACAGGACAAACCGAAUCUCCAUGGGAAACCUUGGAGAGAUGUGGGGUGAGGACCGUCUGUAGUCUAAGUGCAGGAAGUGGAAGUCGUCCUGGAACGGCGCACCACAGAGGGUGAAAGUCCCGUACACGUACUGCAUAUGGCCAAGAGACGGCUCCAGAGUAGCGUGCGUUGGAUAUCGCGCGUGAAUAUGGGAGGCAGAGACUUCCAAUCCUGAAUACUACUCGAGACCGAUAGUUGACAAGUAGCGUGAGCGAAAGCUGAAAAGUAUCCUUAGCGGGAUGUGAAAAGACCCUGAAACCAGUCGGGAACAAGCUGAAUAGGCGUGAAAGCGAAGAUAUGAGCAGCGUCUAUUCGUGCGUUUCGAAAAAUGCCCCUGGGAGUUCUGAUCAUUGGCGAGGUUAAGCAGUUGAUCUGCGAAGCCGAAGGGAAACCGAAAGGUCCGCAGCCGCGUAAGCGGUCAGGGACUGGGUGAGCUCGCCCGGAGUCAAUGGUGGGAGACCUGAAGCCUAUCGAUCUAUGCCUGGCCAGUCUGAAGCCCGACGAAAGUUGGGUGGAGGGACGAACCGUUGCUGAUGUGCAAAUCGCUCGGAAGAGUUGGGUAUAGGGGUGAAAGUCCAAUCGAGAUGGGCAAUAGCAGGUUCCGCGCGAGACUACUCGUAGGUAGACCUCCGUCGAGAUGGAAUGCGAUGUAGAGCACUGAUUGGGUAUUUAGGGGGAGCAAUCCCUCGGUACGCUGUCAAACUCCAAAGUUGCAUUCGUCGUAGAAGCGGGGAGUGAGCCACGGUGGGUAAGCUACCGUGACGAAAGGUGAAGAAACCAGCUCAGCGUUAAGGUCCCAAAAUUUCAGUUAAGUGUUAAUCACAAACGGCGUCCGUGGUCGAAGACAACCAGAAGGUGGGCUUAGAGGCAGCCAUCCUUGAAAGAGUUCGUAACAGAUCACUGGUCAAGCUUGCGGGCCCGAAAAAUGGACGGGACUCAAACUGAAUACCGAUACGCUGACCCUCCGAAAGGAGAUGGGGUAGCGCGGCGACGUGGUCGGGUAGAAGCUAGGUCGUGAGGUCUAGUGGACCGUCUACGUAUGAGAAUCCAGGGAAGAGUAGCAGCAUAGUGCGGUGAGAAUCCGCACCACCGAAGGGGCCAGGGUUCCUCGGCAAUGUUCAUCAGCCGAGGGUUAGCCGGUCCUAAGGACAUCCUUAACCGAGAUGUUCGAAAGGGAAAUGCGUUAAUAUUCGUAUGCCCCUCUGCAAAUCUGGUAACGGCUCGGGCUAGUUCGUGCAUUCCUGUCAUGGGAUGUCGAAGCGUUCGAUAAUCGAUCGGAGAACCGUAAC